rnacentral:rRNA from 1 species
UACGUAGGGGGCAAGCGUUGUCCGGAUUUAUUGGGCGUAAAGCGCUCGCAGGCGGCUCGAUGCGUCGUGCGUGAAACACCCCGGCUCAACUGGGGAGGGUCGUGCGAUACGGUCGGGCUGGAGGCCAGUAGGGGGAUGCGGAAUUCCGGGUGUAGUGGUGGAAUGCGUAGAGAUCAGGAAGAACAUCGGUGGCGAAGGCGCUCUGCUGGACCAUAACUGACACUCAGGGACGAAAGCUAGGGGAGCGAAUGGG